rnacentral:rRNA from 1 species
AUUGAACGCUGGCGGCAUGCCUUACACAUGCAAGUCGAACGGUAACAGGUCUUCGGAUGCUGACGAGUGGCGAACGGGUGAGUAAUACAUCGGAACGUGCCUAGUAGUGGGGGAUAACUACUCGAAAGAGUGGCUAAUACCGCAUGAGAUCUACGGAUGAAAGCAGGGGAUCGCAAGACCUGGCGCUACUAGAGCGGCCGGUGGCAGUUUAGGUAGUUGGUGGGAUAAAAGCUUACCAAGCCGACGAUCUGUAGCUGGUCUGAGAGGACGAUCAGCCACACUGGGACUGAGACACGGCCCAGACUCCUACGGGAGGCAGCAGUGGGGAAUUUUGGACAAUGGGCGAAAGCCUGAUCCAGCAAUGCCGCGUGCAGGAUGAAGGCCUUCGGGUUGUAAACUGCUUUUGUACGGAACGAAAAGCCCCGGGUUAAUACCCUGGGGUCAUGACGGUACCGUAAGAAUAAGCACCGGCUGACUACGUGCCAGCAGCCGCGGUAA